rnacentral:lncRNA from 1 species
UUUUUUAAAAAAAAAAACAUAAGAUGCUAUUUGGUUAUCUGAUCAUGAUUUGCAAGCAAAGGUUGUGUUUUUCAGCCUAGCUCAAAAAUCGUGGAUUUAGGGUUCGUGAAUUUUAAAUCCAAUGGCACAAAAGCAAAGAGACCCCCAGGACAGAUCCAGAAAACACAGGGAGCAAAAAAAAAAAAGCAAGUUUUUUGGUUUUCUUUGGGGGUUUUGCAUGGAUUUUCUCGAAAAUCAAACAAGGAUGAAUUUUCCCGAAAAUCGAAUGGGGGAUGGAUUUUCUUGGGAAUCAAACGGGGGUUUUUCAAAGAGAAAACACAGGAAGAAAAAAAAAACAAUUUAUUUGGUUUUCCUUGGGGGUUUUGCAUGGAUUUUCUCGGAAAUCAAACGAGAAUGAAUUUUCCUGGAAAUCGAAUGGGGGAUGGAUUUUCCUAUGAAUCAAACGGGGGUUUUGCAAAGAGAAAACAUAGGAAGAAAAAAAAAAGCAAUUUUUUUGGUUU